AAAUCAAAUCUAUGAACAAGCCCAAUCUCAUCUGAUCUCGGAAGCUAAGCAGGGUCGGGCCUGGUUAGUACUUGGAUGGGAGACCACCUAGGAAGACCAGGU
rnacentral:rRNA from 1 species